rnacentral:rRNA from 1 species
GUCUUUUAGAUUAUAAUUUAAAGUCUGGCCUGCCCUAUGAUAAAUUAAAUGGCCGCAGUAUUUUGACUGUGCAAAGGUAGCAUAAUAAUUAGUUUUUUAAUUGAAAGCUGGAAUGAAAGGUUGAACGAAAAAAUAUCUGUCUCAGUUUAAUUUAAUUAGAAUUUUAUUUUUUAGUAAAAAAGCUAAAAUAAUUUUUAAAGACGAGAAGACCCUAUAGAGUUUUAUAUUUAGUAUUAUAUAUUUUAUAGAAUUUUUUUAUAGUUUAAAAUAUUUUAUUGGGGUGAUAAAUAAAUUUAAGUAACUUUAUUGGUUUAUAACAUUAAUAUAUGAUUAAUUGAUCCAUAAAAAUGAUUAAAGAUUAAAUUACCUUAGGGAUAACAGCGUUAUUUUUUUUUAGAGUUCUUAUCGAAAAAAAAGAUUGCGACCUCGAUGUUGGAUUAAAAUUUAUUUAUGGUGUAGAAGCUAUAAUAUUAGGUCUGUUCGACCUUUAAAAUUUUACAUGAUCUGAGUUUAAACCGGUGUGAGCCAGGUUGGUUUCUAUCUUAAAAUAAUAUAAAAUAUUUUAGUACGAAAGGACCAAAUAUUUAUAAAAUUUAUUAAAUUUUGAAUAC